CGGAUUGUAAAGCCCUGUUUUCUAGGACGAUAAUGACGGUACUAGAGGAGGAAGCCACGGCUAACUACGUGCCAGCAGCCGCGGUAAUACGUAGGUGGCGAGCGUUGUCCGGAUUUACUGGGCGUAAAGGGUGCGUAGGCGGAUGUUUAAGUGGGAUGUGAAAUCCCCGGGCUUAACCUGGGGGCUGCAUUCCAAACUGGAUAUCUAGAGUGCAGGAGAGGAAAGCGGAAUUCCUAGUGUAGCGGUGAAAUGCGUAGAGAUUAGGAAGAACACCAGUGGCGAAGGCGGCUUUCUGGACUGUAACUGACGCUGAGGCACGAAAGCGUGGGUAGCAAACAGGAUUAGAUACCCUGGUAGUCCACGCCGUAAACGAUGGAUACUAGGUGUAGGGGGUAUCAACUCCCCCUGUGCCGCAGUUAACACAAUAAGUAUCCCGCCUGGGGAGUACGGUCGCAAGAUUAAAACUCAAAGGAAUUGACGGGGGCCCGCACAAGCAGCGGAGCAUGUGGUUUAAUUCGAAGCAACGCGAAGAACCUUACCUGGACUUGACAUCCCUUGCAUAGCCUAGAGAUAGGUGAAGCCCUUCGGGGCAAGGAGACAGGUGGUGCAUGGUUGUCGUCAGCUCGUGUCGUGAGAUGUUAGGUUAAGUCCUGCAACGAGCGCAACCCUUGUUAUUAGUUGCUACCAUUAAGUUGAGCACUCUAAUGAGACUGCCUGGGUAACCAGGAGGAAGGUGGGGAUGACGUCAAAUCAUCAUGCCCCUUAUGUCCAGGGCUACACACGUGCU
rnacentral:rRNA from 1 species